rnacentral:rRNA from 1 species
UACGUAGGGUGCAAGCGUUAUCCGGAAUUAUUGGGCGUAAAGAGCUCGUAGGCGGUUUGUCGCGUCUGCCGUGAAAGUCCGGGGCUCAACUCCGGAUCUGCGGUGGGUACGGGCAGGCUAGAGUUCGGUAGGGGAGACUGGAAUUCCCGGUGUAGAGGUGAAAUUCGUAGAUAUCGGGAGGAACACCAGUGGCGAAGGCGGCUCUCUGGGCAGGUACCGAGCUGAGACGCGAAAGCGUGGGAAGCAAACAGG